UAGCAUUCAUUCACAUAUUAUAGCACCAAUAACAGGGGAGGUUAGCAUUCAUUCACAUAUUAUAGUAACCAAUAACAGGGGAGGUUAGCAUUCAUUCACAUAUUAUAGUACCAAUAACAGGAGAGGUUAGCAUUCAUUCACAUAUUAUAGC